rnacentral:misc_RNA from 1 species
UUAAUGAAUUACAAAUCCCAAAUUGUAAUUUACUCUAUAUUUAGUGCCUGCCUUAAGAUUAGUAUCCAUAUAUAAAAGUAUGAGGUGGUGGUGGGUAAUGUCGCUUAAAGUGAAUUCUAUACUUUAUUACUUUUCUUCAUGGCCCCUCCCUUGACGAGGACAAAGGAACUUUCCUUCUUGUUUACAAAAGGAAGAAAAGGAAGAACGCACGCCGCGCUUUCUCCGCAACUUCGAGGGAUGUUGACCAAAUAAUACAUCGGCUUUAAUAUCUU